rnacentral:lncRNA from 1 species
GUCUGGAGUCAGGGGUCUGUUUGUGUGUUUCCACAGGGAGACAGCAGCCGAUUUGGAUUCCAGAGAGAUUAACUAAGGUCCUGACCCAGUGAUUGUCUGGAGUUGGGGGUCUGUUUGUAUGUUUCCACAGGGAGAACAGCAGCCGAUUUGGAUUCCAGAGAGAUUAACUAAAGCGAUUUCUACAGACCAAAAAGAAGAUGAUUUGGCUCAAAUCCAAAACAG